UUUAGUUCUCUUUAAAAGGUUUCAUUUUGGUGUUGUCUUAUAUUUCAUUGAGUUUUUUGCCAUACAAAGGGAUCGGCUGGCUCAUGAGUCAAAACCAUGAGUUAAAGUGUUGUUUGCAAGCUAUGGAACAGAUGUCCAACUUUGAGAUGGUAGCGGUACAAGCAUGGCAAAGGUUUGGAAGGUCUAAUCAGUGUACAGUGCAACAUGGGAAAGAUAUAUGGGAUGGAUUAAGCAAAGUGGAGCUUCCUGUGGGCUGCAGUCCUCCCUUAAGAAUGUUUGGUCUUUUUAUUCACAGAGGGUAUUUGUUUCAACUCAUGCCCUUUUUGUUGGUGUCUUUGUAUUAUACUUUUAUAUGUAUCUUUACUUUUGUUACCAUAGGAAGUUGGCUUGUUUUAAUAUAUUGCUUGCUAUUAAAAAAUGAUGUUGUGUUGGGAACUAACAUCUGCAAGACUGCAAUUGAUCAUGACAUUUUAACUUGACAGUGACAAAUUUGCGUUUCCUUGAAUCACCAGCUGUAGUUGGUUUAUUCAUAUUCAAACACUUCAUCAGAUUUGUACAUUGUUGGUGAUGCAAAAGCUGGUAAAAGCCCCACAAUUUUGGCAAAAGGGUCACUACCACAUGCCUGAGACCAGAUGGCUCUUUCUUUCUUCCUGAGGCACAAAUUUUCAGCACAGUAAGGAUUUAUGAGUCAUUGUAAUUAUAAGAAUGAUGUUUUUAUGUUGAAUGUUAUUAUGUCAAGGUAACUAAGGAUUAGGAUGGGAAAUUGUGUUAACCAAGAAUUUGAUUCGACCAGUUGC